UACAUAACAGGCGGCCAUUUUGUGAUCAAUUAUGUAGUUUAUCCGUAGUUUAUCAAAGAAUCUUAAAAACGCAUAAUAAGUGCGUAAUUUUGUCGGGAGUGUCGAUUAAAGUAGCGGGCGUGUGCAGGAAUAUAUUAUUUUUAUCGCGAGUGUUACGGUUAAUAGUGUUUCAUCGAUCAAAAUUGACGCUACACCGACACAUAUCCAGAACACAAUAAGUGUAUGUUUUAUGUUACUAACAAGUGGAUGUCUCUCUCUCUCUCUCUGAUAUGCAUCGAUUCUUCAAUGGAGCAGAGCAAUCUAAGGCAAAAUGCAGUGGAUGAAACACACUUCAAUAUUCUAGCUGAUGGGUACAGCUGUAGAGUGUACUUUGCUAGGGUACAACACCGAUGAGUGAAUUCAUUUAUUGUACUUGUAUGAGGAUAUAUAGACGUGAGGGCCUUUUAAGGAUCAUCCUGUUCGUGGGACGCUGCACCUUUCCGUUCUCCAUGGUCCACGCGUUCGAGCGAGGCCGACGAACGCGGCCGGGUGCCACUUAAGCAUCCGUCUCACGUAUCUUAGCGGUUGCCCGAUCAUCAUUGGACACCUAAGCCGGACGCGACGAUUGUUCGGUGAACAAUAGCCAGGGUCGUGAACAAAGACCAAAAACGAGCGAACGGGGUCGCGGGAUUGCUGCAGGAGGUGGUUGCAAAAAGGGAGGAGGGAGAAAGAGUUGUGACAAGGAACGGCGAGAUAGCGCGGGGUGAAAAAGAGAAAGCGAUAAAGAAAAAAAGGAGAUCGAAAGAAAGGCAAAGAGAACAAACCCGCGGAAAAAAAUGAAGUCCGAGGAAAGAUGUGAAAGGGGAAGAAAGGGGAGAAAGAGAAAGGUGGGGAACAUGGCUACGUCAUGCUGGCUCGAUGCCAACCAAUUACGAAUGUAAAGUUAUGGUAAUAUUGAUAUCGAGCGCGGGGCGCAAAAAUAUGGCCGUAAUAAAACCGAGAACGGUCUUCCUCCCUUCCUUCCCGCUUUCCGUUCGCCACGUCUGUCUUCGACCACUCUCUUUUUUCUCGCUCGCGUACAUUAUUCAGAACAUUCUUCCAUACAUGCACUUGAAAUGCGCCUAUCGCGCGUGAUGUAAUUGAAACUCAAUAUGUCGGCCGGAACUCGUGCGAAGAGUCCCCGCGGUUCAUUUAAAUCGCAUCUCUGCGCUCAGCGGGAUUUCACUCGCGGCCAGUCGAGCAGAUGCAGCCGCGAUGGGAGCUUCCGUGGUAUGCAUUUAUGAUUAGAUUCCCGACUUUUGAUCGUCGUCAAUAAUCGCAAGCUGGCGGCAACAAUCCGCGCCGAUGCUAUUUUUCAUAGCCGCAGUUUUAUGCGCUUAAUUAUUUUGACAGAAAUAUAUUUUUGCAGUGCAAAAAUAAUUUUAUAAUGAAAUAAUUUAGUAUUGGUAAAUGAAUUAAGUGAAUUUGUACUCAAUUUUAUAUACUUAAUUUUUUAUAUACUAUUUGCUUUAUAAACAGUGUUUUAUGAAAUGCCAUAGCUCGAGCAUUCGCACACGUAACGCAAUGUUACAAGAAUCGCGCUUUAGAUGCAGACGUCGUUUAAACAAUACGCAGAAAUAUUCGUUUGGCGUGUCAAAACUGGUUGUAACUAUUGUCAGACUGGACGUUGCUAUCGGCCGGGAGCAGCACGUGCAAAUCUCGCCUGUCAUUUCAACGGGCGCGCUCGUCGUUAAAACCGCGAUCGGAUUUGCCGUUCAAUCCAGUUCGCGAUUAAAGUUGAAAAAGAGCUGAGCAUUUUUCAAAAGCGCAUUGUAUGUUAAUUCUUUCGAAAAUAAUCGCAUUACACCAACAUCAGAUUUGUCUCAAUUAUUUAAAAUGUCACAUAUUUAUGAACAUGCAACUUCUAAAAAUCAGAUUUGAAAAUAAUGAAACUAUUUCAAAAUUCAAUUUAGCGCUUUGAAAGCUUGCUUGCGUCCGCUUUUAAAUGGUUUUAACAAUUGUACGCUACUUAUUUUGUUCAUUUUUUUUUUUUGCCAUUCCACGAUAGUUGUGUAAUUUUAUAUAACAGUAACGCCCGGGUAAUGCGGCGAAUAAAGACAAAGAUCACGUCGCCGGUAAAUUAAGUUUAAGUCGAACAACAGGUCGGAUAAACUUGCCGCGGUAGCUUUUCUCGUCGACGCUCGUGUACAACGAGAGUCCGCUGUUUCAUUUGUUUCUCAUUCCAAUCGGCUUGCAUUUAACUGUACGUUGGAUUGGACAUGUCGGCGGAGCUCGUCGAGCGGCGCUCGCGAAGAUAAAGUUUUCCAUCUGCUCGCGUCCGCAUCGGGAUGGCCGGUCGCACGCGACGACAAACAAAUAAUCGAAUCAACCUGCCUACCGUCGACGAAAGUUUUACGCAAGUCAAAGUUGCCACAGGCAAUUCCGCGGCCCCCUGCCGCCGCGCGUCUAAUUAGGUGGGAUUAGCGGAGCGGAGCGCCGUGACGUAUUUCGUGCGCGCUCGCGGCUCCCGUCACUCGAAAUUCUAAUUAAAUUAUCCGCCAGCUAGACAAAAGUAAACCAAACUCGCGUGUGAGCACGCACUAGCGCACGCUCGCGCGGACGCGCGAUAUCUCGGCGAUAACGGCGCCGAGAUAAUACUCGCAUUACCGCACUAAGAUUAAUUUACAUUAUUAUGACGUUACGUGGGGCGCACAUCAACCGCAAAACGCACAACGGUGCUGCCUGUCGUGACAUUUAACAUUACACAUAAUAUGACUUGACUUUUGCACAGCGUUGAGAUAACAAUAUGUUAACAAUUAUCUCGUAUUAUUUAUAGUCGCGAUUUGAUAUUGUGAAGAAUGCGAAAUGUUUGUAGACUGUUGUUGUUUCAUUCUUUCAUCAUAUAACUUGAAUGCAAUUGAUGUUUUAACUUAUAAUUAAAGUAAAUUUUUUUUAUUUAUAUUAGCAAUACUACAAAAAUCAAAUAUUUAAUAUUUUUACAUAAAAAUUAUUGCUUGAAAUGUGUCUUUUUUUUUGUAAGCAUGUCACAACUUCCGCUCAAAAGAUAGCUAUGUUGUCAUUACUAAAUGACGCGGCUGAUACUUUUAUCUCCGCUGCAAUCUAGUUAAUAUUGAUCGAUUAAACAUUUUGUCAGAUACCGACCUAAAAGUCGGUACCGUGGAGAGUGGCGUGGUGACGUCGAUUGGAAGAGAAUUUAAUGACGGAUGGCGUCAGACGACGGCAAGAAAAUUAGAUGUGAAGAAAAAAUUAGAUGGAAGAAGGAGACCUCAACGUGUUCUGAAUCAAAUGGAAUUUUUAUCGACCGGCUUAAUGGUCAAAGAAACUGAUAUCUAUGUUAUACAUAUAUCAAUGUCAUAAUAUUCAAAUGCAUUCUAAUAAUGCUGUGAUUAUUAUUUUAAUUUUAAUAAAAUAUAUUUUUUGGGGCUAUGUAUGAUAUAUAUAAAUUUAUACUUUAC
rnacentral:misc_RNA from 1 species